AACGAACGCUGGCGGCAGGCCUAACACAUGCAAGUCGAGCGAACCCUUCGGGGUUAGCGGCGGACGGGUUAGUAACGCGUGGGAAUAUACCCUUUGGUACGGAAUAGGCCUCGGGAAACUGAGAGUAAUACCGUAUGUGCCCUUCGGGGAAAGAUUAUCGCCAAAGGAUUAGCCCGCGUUGGAUUAGAUAGUUGGUGGGGUAAUGGCCUACCAAGUCUACGAUCCAUAGCUGGUUUGAGAGGAUGAUCAGCAACACUGGGACGUGAGACACGGCCCAGACUCCUACGGGAGGCAGCAGUGGGGAAUCUUAGACAAUGGGCGCAAGCCUGAUCUAGCCAUGCCGCGUGGACGAUGAAGGCCUUAGGGUUGUAAAGUCCUUUC
rnacentral:rRNA from 1 species